GUCUCCAUGGUGUUGUGAAUUACACAUUUGCUUGGCAAGUGAGGGGUUGCUGGUUCAAUUCCAGCUGGAAACA
rnacentral:tRNA from 1 species